rnacentral:ncRNA from 2 species
UACGGAGGGUGCGAGCGUUAAUCGGAAUUACUGGGCGUAAAGCGUACGUAGGCGGCUUGUUAAGCAAGAUGUGAAAGCCCCGGGCUCAACCUGGGAAUGGCAUUUUGAACUGGCAAGCUCGAGUUCUGAAGAGGGUGGUAGAAUUUCCUGUGUAGCGGUGAAAUGCGUAGAUAUAGGAAGGAAUACCGGUGGCGAAGGCGGCCACCUGGUCAGAAACUGACGCUGAGGUACGAAAGCGUGGGGAGCAAACAGG